UCACUACCAUAUUAUUGCAAGUUGAGGUAGGAUCCCUACACAAAGUUGACGUCAAGUGAAUUUAGUUUUCAAUUAAACAUGUUAUUCGUUAUAAUUGCAUGAAGUAUAUGAAGUGUCUUUAGAGUUCUUCUCUUAAAGUUUUGAUGAAAGGAAGGUUUAUAUAUGUUUAAACUGAUGGUCGCAGAGGUUCAUCAAAACCCUAGAUAGAUCGUUUGAUUAUCGAUUUACUUAUUUAUGAAGGCAACAUGUAAGAAUGCAAAAUUAAUUUAUGAUUAUUAUGUUCAUAUAGCACGUGUAGCCUACUCAGUAUUUUUUUUGAGAUGCUCACUCCUUUUUAACCCCUUUCAGAAUAAUCGAGAUCUAGCAGUGGAUUGGCAUGAAUGGCACGUACUAUUUUUAGAGGAAUUUAUUCUUAUGUUUUAGAUUGCCACUAUUUUUUUAUUUUAUUUUUUACAUUCUGCUAUGGUCGAUAAAUUUGGGAUGUUUUAAAUUAGUGUUUCUUGAAAUCUUGAAAACUGAAUUGAUGAUGAAAUUACUUAAUAUUUUUUUCUUAUGGAUUUUUAAUUCAGUUCUUUUGAGUUACACUACUGGAAACUAAAUAUUUCCAGUUUCUACCUAAGUUUAAAAAUUCAGCCAGACCAAAAUACUUGGAAUUUUGAGGUGAUUCCAAUUGGAAAAGAUAUCCAUAUGAGUUAUCUCUCUCUCUAACUUGGAAUCAGGAAUUUUGGAUCUAUAAAAUUCAAGUUAUGAGCAUUUUCCCAAGAGCUGUCAGAUUGUACCCGGGAACAAAUAGCCCUGGUUUAGAAAUUUUUUUGACCAAUCUAUUGAUUGAAUUUAUCUAUGAAAUUUUAACCUAUGAUUCCCUCACGUGUAUGAUGUCUACAGUUAAAAUUUUGUAAAUUUUGGACUUCAUUUAUUUGUCGAACUAG
rnacentral:lncRNA from 1 species